rnacentral:rRNA from 1 species
UACAGAGGUCUCAAGCGUUGUUCGGAUUCAUUGGGCGUAAAGGGUGCGUAGGUGGCGCUGUAAGUCAGGUGUGAAAUCUCACAGCUUAACUGUGAAACUGCAUUGGAUACUAUUCGGCUUGAGAGUUGGAGGGGGGACUGGAAUUCUUGGUGUAGCAGUGAAAUGCGUAGAUAUCAAGAGGAACACCAGUGGCGAAGGCGAGUCCCUGGACGAUACCUGACACUGAGGCACGAAAGCCAAGGGAGCAAACAGG